rnacentral:lncRNA from 1 species
CUCUUGCUUGUGUAUUUUUAGGCUAUAGUUCACUUCAUAAAGGUUUUCGUUGUUUAGAUACAAAAUCUAACCGUGUUUAUAUCUCUCGUCAUUUGCAGUUUUUUGAGGAUCAUUUUUCCUUACAAAAACUCUACUCUUCCUUCCCAGGUCUCCACUGAUUUUGUCACCUUUUUGGAUCCUAUUGAUCCUUCUUUAUCUUGUGAACACGUUGAUCCUACAGAUAUGGCUUCGAAGCAUCACAAGGCAUCUUCUCGGUGUCUCCCAUGUGCUGACCAUAAUUGUACUUCUCAUUCUCUUUUUGAGUAUGUGCCUCCUUCAGCAACAUCUGAUGCUCCUCCAUCCGAGCUUGUGACUAUUUCAAGUGUUAAUCCACCCACUUCUUCCUUUUCACGACUGCCACCAAUCCCACAUCCUAUGAUUACUCGUUUAAGGAAUGGUAUUAGUAAGCCUCAUACUAUUCAUUCGUUAAUUGCUUUGUCAGCUCCUCCAUGGUUUCAGGUGCAUCUUACUGUUAAAUAGCCAAGAGAUUUUAAGUCAGCCUUAAAACAUCAGGAAUGGCUUACUGCAAUGGAUGAUGAAAUAACAACUCUAAAGCAAAAUAACACCUGGCGAUUGGUACCUCGACCUUCUAAUCAUAAUGUUGUGGGUUGUCGUUGGUUUUUUAAAACUAAACUUUGUACAGAUGGUACUAUAGAGCGCCAUAAAGCUCAUCUUGUAGCACAGGGAUUUUCUCGUAAACAUGGCAUUGACUUUGAAGAGACUUUUAUUCCGGUCAUUCGUCCUACCACGGUUCGAAUAAUCAUUUCUCUUACUGCUAUGCAUAAUUGGCCUCUUUAUCAGCUUAAUGUUAAAAAUGCUUUCUUGCAUGACCAUCUUUUAGAAGAAGUUUAUAUGGAACAACCUCCUGGUUAUGUUAGUACUCAAUUUCCUAAUCAUGUAUGUCUCUUGCAACGAGCUCUCUAUGGUCUUAAACAGGCUCCAAGGGCAUGGUUCCAAAGGUUCAACUCCUUUUUGUUUCACCUUGGCUUUGUUGCUAGUCAGGCAGACUCAUCUCUAUUUGUUUAUCAUGGCUCUCAUGGUGUCAUCUAUUUGCUAUUAUAUGUCGACGAUAUGGUGAUUACUGGUAGUAAUGCCAAAAUGAUUCAUACAAUUAUUGAUCAACUUGCCACAGAAUUUUCUAUGAAGGAUUUAGGUGAUCUCCAUUAUUUUCUGGGCAUAGAGGUAAUUCGAAAUGAUAAAGGGAUUUUUCUUAGCUAAUCUAAGUAUGCAUCGAACCUUCUGGAUCGUGCUGAUAUGAAAGAUUGCAAGCCUAUUUCCACCCCCAUUUUGGUUGGUUCUCAUCUCACAGAAUCUGGUGGGCCUCAUGCUGAUUCUCCACAGUUUCGGUCUCUUGCUGGAGCUUUACAAUAUUUGACGCUUACCCGCCCAAAUUUAUCUUACAGCGUUAACUCCAUUUGUCAAUAUAUGCAUGCUCCUACUACAGAUCAUUUUCGUGCCUUGAAACAUAUUCUCAGAUAUGUUAAAGGCAUCUAUCACUUUGACCUUCAAUUGUCAAUACACUCUUCCUCUACGUCACUUGGUUAUUUUGAUGCAGAUUGGGUAGGAUGUCCAAACACUAGGCGUUCUACUAUAGGUUUUGCGGUCUAUUAUGGCUCGAAUCUCGUCUCUUUGUGUUCCAAGAAACAGACCUCUGUUUCUCGUUCCAGUACUGAGGCAGAAUAUCGAGCACUUGCUGUUCUAGUUGCUGAUCUUUCAUGGACACUUCAGCUUUUUCGUGAGCUACAUAUCAAGCUAUCCUCGCCUCCAACUAUGUUAUGUGAUAAUAAGAAUGCAAUGUUUAUUGCUUCCAACCCGGCCACCAAGUCCCACUCCAAGCAUAUUGCCAUUGAUUAUCACUUCAUUAGGGAAUUUGUGGCACGUCGGGUUCUCCACCUGAGUUUUGUACCCUCUUCGCUUCAACUUGCAGAUAUUUUUACAAAAGGGGUUGCAAAACUUCAAUUUUUCGUGGUUCGAUCAAAGUUGUGCAUUUUUCCUCAUUCAACCACACUGCCUUUGAAAGGGGGUAUUGGCGGAGAAUCCAUUGAUGAAGACAUUGAUGAAUAUUAGAAAGCAUUAUCGUUAUCCCCUCCAACUAUAUACUCCUAUUUAGUAAACUAGAUUAGGUUCUUAUUUAUUUUGUAUUUAUCAUGUACAUAGUUUAGAAUUAUCUUUCACUGUAUUUUGUGUAUAAAU